UACGUAGGGUGCAAGCGUUAAUCGGAAUUACUGGGCGUAAAGGGUGCGCAGGCGGUUCUAUAAGUCAGAUGUGAAAUCCCCGGGCUUAACCUGGGAAUUGCGUUUGAAACUGCAGAACUAGAGUGCGGCAGAGGGAGGUGGAAUUCCAUGUGUAGCAGUGAAAUGCGUAGAGAUAUGGAAGAACAUCGAUGGCGAAGGCAACCUCCUGGGCUAGCACUGACGCUCAUGCACGAAAGCGUGGGGAGCAAAC
rnacentral:rRNA from 1 species